GUCACCGGUUUCUUAAUUUCAGAGUUCCUCGUCCAUCAGGAACCCCACUGCAUGUGCACAUAACAUCGUGUCAUCCCACGGAAACUGGACCUUGGAGAACUGACCUGGAUACUGUCCUGGCUGAUGUCUCACUUUGACUCAUAAAAUCCUCUGUGCCACUGACCCAGGAGGCCUGUGACUUCUGACAGUUUUCAGGCUCAGAUGCAAGUGGGAAUGGGCUUGUUGACAAGGGCCACACUCGUCACCCGUCACCUUGCACCUGCAACUGUGCCGUGCAGGUCAAUACGCACUCAUCACUGAGCACACAAACAGAUGGAAAGCAAAACUUGGAACCAGAAGCUUUGUACUGCUUUCCCAGCAGCUAAGCCCAGUAAGAAAGAUGGUCUGGGAUCUGGAAGGUUUGAUCCCACUUCUGCCUGUGCCAUGAACUCACGCUUGACCUGAAGCAAGUCACCUUCCCAUUCAAAUCCUGCAUUUUUUCCAUCUGGAAGGGGAAGAAGCUGAGCUACGUGGUCUUCGUGUUCUCAACCAACCUGAGAAUGUUGUUUCACUCUGAAUAAAUCAGUUUGUCAAGACAGCCUCCUGCGGUGGCCAUCUGAUCCCGUGUGGCAUCUUGCCCAGCCUUUGACAAAUAACAACAGGAGGUGGGAACCGCUCAAGCCCUUCUGGGUUGCUUACCAGGCCAACUCACCCYUCUGGUCAAUGUCCACACCGAUGUGACUAUUACUCUUCAGGAAAUGCUCUCUCCAAUUUGGGGCCCACCCUGUAUUCAUGAAAUCAAUGGCUCGA